rnacentral:tRNA from 1 species
CCCUGGGUGGUGCGAAUGGUUAGCAUGUUUGGCUGUUAACCAAAAGGUUGGAGGUUUCAGUCCACCCAGAGGUG